rnacentral:rRNA from 1 species
GACGAACGCUGGCGGCGUGCUUAACACAUGCAAGUCGAACGGAAAGGCCCUGCUUGCAGGGUACUCGAGUGGCGAACGGGUGAGUAACACGUGGGUGAUCUGCCCUGCACUUCGGGAUAAGCCUGGGAAACUGGGUCUAAUACCGGAGAGGAGCCAUUUUUAGGGUGGGGGUUGGAAAGUUUUUUCGGUGUAGGAUGAGCUCGCGGCCUAUCAGCUUGUUGGUGGGGUAAUGGCCUACCAAGGCGGCGACGGGUAGCCGGCCUGAGAGGGUGGCCGGCCACAUUGGGACUGAGAUACGGCCCAGACUCCUACGGGAGGCAGCAGUGGGGAAUAUUGCACAAUGGGCGCAAGCCUGAUGCAGCGACGCCGCGUGGGGGAUGACGGCCUUCGGGUUGUAAACUCCUUUCGCUAGGGACGAAGCUUUUUGUGACGGUACCUAGAUAAGAAGCACCGGCUAACUACGU